rnacentral:misc_RNA from 1 species
AAGUCGUAACAAGGUUUCCGUAGGUGAACCUGCGGAAGGAUCAUUAACACGUGUAUCCACGUUAAUACCUCUUGCGAACUUAUUAACGUUUUGGAGUUGGUGGUCAGCGUAGAGAUGGCGGUAGAUAUUACUAUGUCCGGAGGUGGUCGUCGCCCCGCCCGGUUCUACCGUUCUAGUCAGCACAUUCCUUUUGUUCCCAUUAAACCGAUAUCCUGUCCUGCAUAACGCGGUUGAGGUAUUUGGGGGGACAGGGAAGUGUGUUGGGUAUGCUGGUCCGUAUGACUCGAAUCAUAGUAGGUGUUUCUUACACCCUUUUACCAAUCUGAUGAAUUUUUUGUGAUGGCCCGCCUCGUGCGUGUGUGCUCACGUUAAUAAAACACUAUACAACUCUUAGCAACGGAUAUCUCGGUUCU